rnacentral:lncRNA from 1 species
AGGGAACCAACGUGAACACCGAAAAAGGUAUUUCGUAACCAGUUCAAACAACAACAAAUCCGCAAAAUCAAAUCCCACGAAAUCUGGGAUGAAAAAGUAAACCUGAUAAAUUAUUUUAAGACUUAAUAAACUCAUCAUGAAAAAAGAACAUAUAUACCCAGAGAAGAAGAUAUUGAAGACAGCGUGAACUUCGGCAAGAAAUCCAGAUAACCCUAACAUUCACACAACCAUCAAAAACGAAAAAAGAGAGAAAGAACAGAAGAAGGCGGAGAGAGAUUUAGAGGAAAAGAAAAACUUAUCUGAGCCGUGACGAAGAAGUUCGCGUCGCCGGCGACAAAAUCGGACCAAGAAGCAUUUCUUCUCCCUCCUUUGCCUGAAAUCCUUACUCUAUUUCCUUCGUCGUUAUAAGUGAAGCAAAAACCCCCUGUUAUUUUCCUUAAAUCGCGACUGCAAAGCCUCAAAUUUGAAAUUAGGGUUUAUGUUUAAACUGUUUGGGUUGCUGUUUUUUUUUUUUUUUGGAUUUGUUGUUUGAAAGGAGUUAGGGUUUCGUUUGGUCGCGUUGAGUUGUUGUUGGAUCGGAGUUUGAGUUUGCGGAUUUUGUGUUGAGUCUCGAUCUGGUUAUUUGAGAGGGAUUUCAAACAGAAGCAAAGAAAAGAGAAGAAGAAGGUAACAAAGGCAUUGGAUUUGAUAACGUUCACCUUUAACAAUCGCAAGUUGAAGAAUAACGAUUGAAUGACUCAAUUCUUCUUCGCUC